CUGUCUUCAAGCAUUCCUCAGCUUUCUCUUUCCAGAACAGGAUUAUGAACCGACACCAUACAGAGGUAUUUGUAAGAAAGAAGGUGGAUGCCGGAAUCCUUUCUUCAAACAGAAGCUUACCAGUAAGUGCAGACUAAUACAACAGGUAGGUCAAGGCUAAUCCAGUUGGAGGGGGUGCUGGUGGAGGUGGGCACUGAGGGAGGGGGUCAGCACCCUAGCCGUCCAGCCCUCUCCAUCCUCCUGCACCCGCCACACCUGGGUUCUGUGCAGCCUGAUGUGUCCCCACCCCCUCCUAUGCAAUGAAGGAGGGAGACGCAGAGAUGGAGGGCGGCUUCCCCAAGACCACCCAGGGUACUGGUUUGUGGUGGAGCGGGAAGAGGUCACGACGCC
rnacentral:lncRNA from 10 species